rnacentral:misc_RNA from 1 species
GAUGAAGAACGCAGCGAAAUGCGAUAACUAAUGUGAAUUGCAGAAUUCCGUGAAUCAUCGAGUCUUUGAACGCACAUUGCGCCCCCUGGUAUUCCGGGGGGCAUGCCUGUCCGAGCGUCAUUGCUGCCCAUCAAGCACGGCUUGUGUGUUGGGUCCUCGUCCCCCCCGGGGAACGUGCCCGAAAGGCAGCGGCGGCACCGCGUCCGGUCCUCGAGCGUAUGGGGCUUUGUCACCCGCUCUGCAGGCCCGGCCGGCGCUGGCCGACGCGAAAGCAACCAUUUUUUCUCCAGGUUGACCUCGGAUCAGGUAGGGAUACCCGCUGAACUUAAGCAUAUCAAUAAGCGGAGGA